GACGUAGGUGGCGAACGUUAUCCGGAAUUAUUGGGCGUAAAGGGUGCGUAGAUGGUAUGAUAAGUUAUUAGUGGGAAAUCGGGGCUCAACCUCGUGGAAGCUAGUAAUACUGUUUUGCUUGAGUGCAGAAGAGGUUAACGGAACUCCAUGUGGAGCGGUAAAAUGCGUAGAUAUAUGGAAGAACAUCAAUAACGGCGAAGGCAGUUAACUAUUCUGUUACUGACAUUGAGGCACGAAAGCGUGGGGAGCAAAACGG
rnacentral:rRNA from 1 species